CCCAAACCUGCAAAACAAUUCAAAGUUUGUGAAUUUUGGAUAGACAGGAUUCCGGUUGAUGAGUAUUUAAGGUUAGAUGAAGAGUGAUUUAUUUUCUGGAUUUGUCACUAACAUAAAUUUUGCCGUCAGAGGAACCGGCAAAAAGCAUGAAGUCAUCCAUAUCCGAUGUCAAUGAGUGAAAACGAAGUCAUUGUUGACGGCUAUGCGUUGGAUAUCAAGUCCGGUUGAGAAUGAUCCAAUUACUGUCUUGGUGGAAAGGGAAAUUACCUUCCAUACGCAAAAAUAAGCCAAAAAUAAAUAAAAAGAGACCAAAAUCGACCAGCUACCAAAUUGAAAGGGAUUUUAAUUUUGGGUUUGCAAACAAAGAGCAACAUUGAGAGUUGCAUACCUUUCCAGCUGUAGCAUCCACUGAAGAACCACCAGCAAACAGGAGGUCAUCAUGAACAUGCAGGGAAUAUAUGGUUUGUUUUCCUAACAAUUUUCUUGUUCCAGAGUAGAUUGUGUUUGAUGUGUAAUCGCACAAAUUAACUUCCUGUCAUUUUUAUUUUGUAAUUCAAAAGAUCAAUAAGCUUUUAUAAUUGCUACCUGAAAAGGAAGGUCC